AUUGAACGCUGGCGGCGUGCCUAAUACAUGCAAGUAGGACGCAGUUGCGAACGGGUGAGUAACGCGUAGGUAGCUGCCUAUUAGAGGGGGAUAACUAUUGGAAACGAUAGCUAAUACCGCAUACUAGUAGAUGGACCUGCGUUUGAUUAGCUAGUAGGUAGGGUAAUGGCCUACCUAGGCGACGAUACAUAGCCGAACUGAGAGGGGGAUCGGGCAACACGGGGAUGGGGACCGGCCCAGGCUCCUACGGGAGGCCAGAGUAGGGAAUCUUCGGGAAAGGGGGGAAACGUGAACGGGCAACGCCGCGGGAGUGAAGGAGGUUUUUGGAUCGUAAAGCUCUGUUGUUAAGGAAGCGGUACUUAACCAGAAAGGGACGGCUAACUACGUGCCAGCAGCCGCGGUAAUAC
rnacentral:rRNA from 1 species